CAGAGAACAAAAUGUGAUUCAUGCUCAGUGGCUUAUAUCUCAAGGUGUUGCAGUAACAUGAUGUCCUUGUGGAAUGUGGACACCUCAAGGCAGCUUUAAGUCACAUGAAAGAAUCCAUGUUGUCUCAGGUGUCUUUCCUACAAUCCAUCACGAGAAAUAAAAAUAGAAACCUGAAAAACCUGACAGGGAGACAACUGUUGACAGACAGUAAGAUGAUACCAAACAUUAUUGCAAUUAAUGCAGAUAUUUCAGAAAAAUUUGGUAUUGGACGGGUUGAUGAAAACUGUUUGAGUUCAUAUUGAAAUCUUAGAAUUUGAUUGCAGACUUCUGAGUACAAUGUGAGAUAUUGUUGACACGUCUGCUAAAACUCUAGGGGAGACAUGUCAGAUUACAGGGUCUUUUUCUCUGGAGAAAAUUUAGGAAAAACCUUAGCAAAAUGCUCCAUUUAAUCUCAUUGCAGUUUUGGAGGAACAUUCUCCUUUCCUAUUGGAUAUUUAGUAUAUGAAGUGUGCCAUGAGUCAUGGUAUGAAUGAGCUUUUGAAUGAGAAUGAAUCCUCUGUUUUGUGCAUAACUAAUCAACUCCAAUAGAAGAUUCAACUCUUAAUUUUAAUUAAGAGGUGAACAUUUGUCACUGUAGGUAGCAUCAUCAUGCCCUUUCUGCAGCUGAAGGUCUAAACAUGCAUUUAUGCUGUCAUUUUCCCUCUGUUAUCGUGCAUGUCAGCUCUGCUGUAAUUGAGCCCCAUCCCUCAGGCUACACAUACUGUGGCUUGUCGUGGGGUGUUCUGAUAAUUCUUCAAGUCAAAGGGAGGAGGGUGGGGGUCUGCGUUGGUCGCUCUGAAUUCUGAAUAUCAUCCUUCAACAAUAAUCAUGGUUUGAAUCAGCAUUUAAAAUGGAUCAAAAGUUUUCAUGAGGUUUUCAGAGGAGAAUUAGGUUUUUAAAAGGCCGCACCCUCCUAUCCAUGUCAAAGCAUGUGUUGAAACAGAUCCCUUCUGACAUCAGUCAUUGCCUUACUUUUUAUAUUCCUUUCAAAACUAGGGUGGUACCCUAAAGAAGUGUACUAAAAUAGCAAAAAACUAACUCACAUUUUCCAGUGCAAUGUGAAAAAUAAUUGUACACAAAUUUUAGGUCCAGUCAUGGAAUCUGAUGGACCCUUUUCACAUUUCUGAAGUUCCGCUUCUCUCCAAUUGCAAAAGAAAAAUACAUUUUCCAAAAAAGGAAAAAUAGAGAGAAUAUGGUUAUGUCAAAUGUUGAAUCUGUCCCAGCCAUUGUAUUAGAAACACCCUCACAACAGUGUUUAAUGACUGUUAAGUUAAUAUUAAAAGUAAAAGUAAUAAAUUAUAGUGUUGUAAAUGUACAUUAAUUAAACACACACACACACACACACACACACAAACACAUACACAUACUUUGCUAGAUUUACAAUGUUAAUACAUAUGCUAUUUAAAAUUAAUAUAUACUUGUAUUUUGGAUUAAAUGUCACAUGCAUUAACUUCAUAAAUGCAUGUUUAUUAAUAAAACAUUGUG
ensembl:lncRNA